rnacentral:lncRNA from 1 species
AUUGAGAGGGAACUUGCCAUCGCCACUAUCACCAGCUUGGGUUCUCAAAGGGUUGCUAAUGGUUUGGAACUGAGACGAGGUGAGGUAUGUUGGGACGAUGUGGAAUUGCACCAGCUGCACUUUUUGUUCAUCGGUGAGUGAAUUCAAUGUGCCCGAUUUAAGGCUGGAGAAAGCAUUGUCCGUUGGUGCAAAAACGGUCAUACCAUUGUUGGAAUUGUUGAGCUGACCGAGCAGCUGGUUGGCCACUUGAGUGGACUUUAGAAGACGAAUGAAGAGGGUGAAUUGACCAGCUUUUUCGAGGAUCUUGGUGACGUUUGUCGGACCAGAAGGUGCCGGGGCCAGUGCCGGAGAUUGGGCUAAUGUUGUUGAACAACUGAGGGAAAACAGGAUGAGCAACGUGAGAGUAGUGAAGACAUAUUGUUGCCUCAUUGUGGGUUGUAUUGGAAGGUGACGUUAUGGCAACUAAAACAAAGUAAAAUGGAAGGGAAGAAGUGGUCCUUGAACAAAAAUGUUAUGGAUGUUUUGAUUGGAUAAGAAAUGGGAGCUUUUUAUUUAGGAUAUUGGAGGGUGAAGUUAGGUAAAAUAUGCUACUUUAGUUAACUAGAAGACAUACUUAUCAACUUUAGCAAACUCUGUUGGGAUGUUUAUUUGAAAGGAAAGAAAUUGAUGAGCAACUACAUUGCUUGGAAAAGCAGGGAAAACAGAGUAGAUUUUGGAGUGGAUAUGUGACCAAAUAGACAUACAUAUGGGGAGGCUCGUUUCUUCAAUUAUUUCCCGUAUUCCUCGAAUGGAUCUCUUAAUUGUUGAGAGAGUUACCCAAAAGCAGUAUAUAAGGCGUACCUAGUAAAACUUACAAGUAAAUCAGAUAUAGAGAUUGCAACUAAGGUUUUUGUUUCCAUUAUUAUAUAAUUUCAUGAUCACAAUGGGUCUAUGAUAAGAUUGUUUAUUUAUAGUGAAAUGAUAUACAAAGUUAACAAAUCUCAAUGAAUACAAAAUAAGAUUUAUGGCUACACAAAACGUUAACAGUAGUUCUAGAUCUAGUCCAAGACGAAUUGUUGUAGGAGAUUUUUUGAAACCAUUGAAUUCGGAAUAUGGUAAGGUAGCCCCUGGAUGGGAAAAGACUCCUUUAAUGGGUGUCACAAUGGCUUUAUUUGCGACAUUUUUAUCUAUCAUUUUAGAGAUUUAUAAUUCUUCUGUUUUACUUGAUGAAAUUUCAAUGAAUUAAAUUUAUAAGAAUCACAAAGCCUCGUUUUUCAAUAUAAAAAGUGAAACUUUUAGUUUUCGAAAUAUUUUAGCCCGAUUCUAUUUCGGUAAUGAUUGAGUAAUAAAAAUUUCGAUGGUUUUUAAAUAAGAUAUCGGAUUCAAAUAUUAUAAAAAAAUAAUAUUAAAAAAAUUACUUCCUAUUUAGACAUUCAACUUCGCUUUUUAAAAAAAAAUAUAUAAUCGAGAUAUAAUAUAACCAUCCAACACCAUUAAAAAGAAUUAAUGAUUGCCUCGGUUUGUGAUUGCGAAUGCUUGGCUAACUUAGGAAAUAAGUUUCCGUAGCGAUGGCGGUUAAAUUGGGCCCUAUUUCCAGCUAAUGCCAACGAGGCUGAUGGCUCCCUGUGGGUGGGGCUUUAAUUUCCAUGAGCAGAUCGAUCCAAGCUGAUGAUCCCUGCUUCCUUCUUCUUUAACCCUCUUUUCUUUUCUUGGAUUCAUUAGAUUCAACAAAGGCAAAAACACUUUUUUUCUUCUGUCCCAUGUUAUUAACGGUAAGGCAAUUAUUGUCCAUUUAUUUAAAAGCUAUUAUUAUGUUACUACAUUCUACAGAAUAUGUACAACCAAAAUAUGAAAAUUGAUUUUUCAACUGUAUCACAGGUGAAAUUAUAAUAACUUUAAUCUUGAAAAACCUAAACACCUCCCUGCUUCACCUUCUAUAACAAAAAUCUAAAAUUUUCUUAAUGGGUUAAAUGGGAAAUUAUCUUAGAGUUCUAAAUUCGACCAAAAUAAAAUUUAUUUCUAUAAAUUAUAUUAAAUUUAAUUUAAAGAACAAUGUUAAUUUCAUUAGAUAUCCUCAAACUAUGACUCUCAUUUUAAAUUGACCCUAAAAUUUAAAACAUUCUAAUUACAUCUUAAAUUAUUGAUGAUUUAAUGUUAUAUCAAUCAGGUCUUUUUGUUACUAAAAUUGUUAUAUAACCGUUAAAAAAUGACAUGUCAGAUCUUAUGUAAUAUAAUUAAAAAAUAAAAAUUAAAGAAAAAUAAAUAUCGUAAAGUAUUGGUUUUGAGGUUCUUAAAGCUUCUAUAGAAAUUUUAUCAUUCAUUUAAAUCGACUCUAGCAAUCACUCUAAACUGACAUUCGCCUCUCUACCCUUUGCACAUAUGAGGUAGAGUGCAUACUGGCUGGGAAUCACGUUUUGCCACCAUUCCUUUAUAAGUAUCCCCCCUCAACAUCAAGGCAAGGGAGAGACUCAGAAGAAUAUACGAAACCAUAGCAUAUAUUCUACUCGAAUACAAUCUCAACAUUGCUAAAUCACCACUCUUAGGCUCCUUGCACUACUUACAAUGUGAACCACUUUCAUCUUUGUGACUCUAUGCACUUUUUAUGGUGUAAACUAUCUCUAGUUUUAUAUAAUUUACUUGUUAUAACAACUCUAAAGAAAUAUGUUAUUAUUGAAUUGAAGAAAAAUAAAGCAACUUUAUUCUAUUAAAUUAAGAAUAUUUACUUUUGUAAGAUAUCAAAUUUUGAAGGUUAAAAUAUGGCACAGAUCCUUGUACUCUUCACAAAUUUAAAAAUUAGCCAUUAUACUUUUAUUCUCAUGAAUUUAGUUUAUUUACUUUUUAGAUUUCAAAAUCCCGUUUUAAUUGUUAACAUUAUUUUUUUUGUUAAAUUUGUCAGUGUGACAUUUUAAAAUAAAAAAAAUACUCACUUGGUAGAAAUGUAGGUACAAAAAUGACAUUAAAAUGAACCAGAAUUUAACAAAGUAAUCCUAACAGUAUUAAUAGUUGGAUAUGAAUUUUGAGAUUUAAAAAGUAGAGGGAUUAAAUUCCUAGAAAUAAAAAUAUAAGGACUAAAUUUCAAAAUUUAAAAAAAAUACAGGAAUGUAUGGUAUAUUUUAACCAUUUUUGAAUUAAAUUGUAUUUUGGGCAAUAACUUUAUUUAACCCAAAUAUGGUAUAGAUGAGAGGUGUAAAGUUGCUUCUGUCUCAAUUCAAGCCCACAUGAGUUGCUUGGACAGUUGGUGGUAAGUAUAGUAGAGUAUUGAUGUUGGCUGCCACUUGGUCGGACCAAAAAUACAAAUAUUGUUGUUGGUAUUUCAUGGUUGAGUUCAAUAUACGCAAAACAUCUAUUUUUCUUCUAAGGAUCCACCAUUUUUUUAAAGCUUUCUUCUGCUGCUCCAUCUUAUCUCAUCAUUGCAUUCUAAUUAGAAAGGUAAUUUAAGUUCAAGAGAUUCUUCUAUGUUGCGCUCAUAAAGAUAUUAAUAUUAGUUUGGGUGAGAAUAAAAACAAUAGUGAUGAUAAAAUUAUUUAUUGUAACAAUGAAAUUUGAUAUUGUAAUAGAAAUUAAUUUAUGGGGUCAGGGAAACUUGAAAAGAUGAACACGAUGAUCCAUUUCUUCCUUUCUAUUCACCUUUGCUUGCAUUGAGGGAAAUUGAGGUUGCAAGUUGGCAAUGAAAGGAGGGAGAGUAGGGCCUAUAAAGAUGCGGAGGGAGUCAGGCAUGCAUACAUAGAUGGGCAUGGCUUCAGUUCUACCCUCACACACUAUUCUCCGCCUAAUUCAUUUUGUUGGCCAAAUAUUGAACAACCGACAACUUCAUCCUUUGCUUUGCUUGGUAAACAAGCUAUCAUCCUGCUCCUACCUCUUCCAUAAUCAUUACAUCAUUUUUUGGUUUUCUAUUCAGACUCUGAACUUACUAAAUGAUCAUGCAUUGAUAUCCAAAUCAUUAUAACUUUAUAGUACCUAAUCAUGUUUCAUAAUUCCUAAAACUAACUCUCCUCGCCUCUAACCAUACCCUAGAGGUUUCCCCUUAUUUAGACAAUAAACUAGGGGCAUAUAUAGGACAAAGGGACCCACACCAAACUCCCCCUCCACUAUAUAUAUAAACCCUUCCGAUCACUAAGAAGGGUUAGACUCCAACUAUUAGAACUUCUCUAAUACAUGUUACUAGUGAAUCACUCACACUUAGGACUAGGGGUUUUCAACCUCGGUUUGGAUAAUAUUCGAAUCAAAUUACUAUUAAUUGAAUUAUUCGAAAUAUAAAAAUUUUUAACCGUUAAUCGAAUAGAAGUUUUUUUCAAAUACAUUAAUCAAACCGAAAUUUAUAUAUUUUUGGAUCUUUUGGCUAAAAUAAGUAUAAAACAUAUAAAAAAUAUAUUGCCAAUGUUUAUUUUCUUUUAUUUAAUAGUUCAAAAAGCUUUAAAUAGAGGUGAAAACAAAAAAUAAGACGUUAGAAACACUAUAUAUAUUAAUUAUUUAUAUACUGGGGGUGGGCUAUAUAUAUUAUAUAUUAUCUAUUUUGGUUAAUUGGUUAAUUUGAUUAAUUACUCGAUUUCGAACUGAAUUAACCGAUAAUCAAAAUUUCAAAAAAUCAUUAACCGACUUUUGACCGAACUAAAUUCAGCCACCGACCGGUUAACUGAAUUAGACCGAUUCGGUUGGUUAAUUCGAUUUUAACCGAACUGUGAACAUCCCUAGUUAGGGGUGUGCAUUUGAUCGGUUUGUUUUGUUUAUACUGAAAAUCAAAUAAAUUAAAUUAUCCAUGUAACUUGAAUAAACUGAACAAACUUAGAGAGCAUAACUGAAUUGAAAAUUUUCAGUUCGGUUCAGCUGUUAAAUUUUUUUUGAGUUGGAUUUCAUUUUACUAAUUGAGGUAUUUAUAUUUUUAUUUCUUUUAAUUUUUUUCAGAUAAUUAUCUUCUUUCUUCAAUUUAACCUAACACAUCACUUUUAUUUUUAUUUUUAUUUCAAAUUCAUUAUAAAAAUAUUAAAAUGAAAAUGAAAAUUCUUUUAAUUAACUCAAAUUCAGUUUAUGUUUUCCUAUUGGAUUCCAAUGUUCCAUGUUUGUUAACUGUGUCAUUCGUAUGGGAUUGUUCAUUUUCUUACAAGGCUUGGAUGUAAGCAUUUCAUUUUCAUGAUUUAAAUAUCUAUGCUGAUGAUUAGUACACUAUAGAAGACAGGUUGAAAUGACUUUAUAAUAUAUAUUUAUACCACGUGUUUAGGUUUAGUGUACGUUUUAGGGUUUUUUAUAUAUUAAAAUUAAAUUAUUAAUUUGGGUUUUAAAUUUAAAUGGAUUUUAGCUUUUAAAAAUAUUAAGUUUUAAUUAAUAUUGAGUUUAAGGUUUACAUUUGAGUUUAGGUAUGUGAAUGGGUUAUGGACUUAAUCGAUUUAAAAUGUAAAAACCAAAAAUUAACUAAAUAAACUAAUUAAAUCAAACUUGAAGGCCAAUUAAACCGAAAAAUCGGAAAAAAAAAAUUGGUAUCUUUGGUGAUUCACUUUGGUGGUUGUGGUUUAGAAAUUUUUUUUUCACACCCCUACUCACAAUCACAUCAUCUAUCUCCAUCACCAAACUUUAUGAAACACUUUAUGAAACAUAUUGUUGAUUUUUGCAUAGAUACAUGGUAAGCUGCAACAAGAUUAAGUCAUUGCUACAAGAAAAAUAGCUGAUGAUUAAAAAUUUUAACACAAGAGCGCGUGUUGAUAAUGUAGUAAAGUGAUAAGUAAUAUAUUUUUCUCAUGAAAACUAAAUUAUAAGUUGCUAAGCACCAACCAUUUCGUUUUAUGUAAAUCUAGAUAAGUAAAAUAAAUCCUAAUUGCUACUAAAAUUAAACUAAGUUUCUCAAUGAAGUGUAUGAUAUCUUGGAACUUUAAUUUCACCUAAUCCUGCUAAUCAAUUAUCCCUCAUGCAAUCAUUCAGUCUAUGUAAUUACUAACUCAAGUUUCAAUAGAUUAACUAAACCAUUCUAGUAUCUAGCUAAGUCAAUCCUCUUUCCCCACUAGCUAUAUUCCAAUCUCUGGCAAGAUAUCAUAAAUAACAAAUUUAUUAUAGCUGCAAAUUAACUCGUUUGUCGCUACUAGAGUUACUCCUAAUCUAUUCAAUCUAGAUCUCAACCUUACCUUUCGACAAAUUAAGAUUAUUAAAUUAAUACAACAUGAUAACCAUACAAGCAAAUUAAAUAAUCACAAAACUAAAUAAUUAAUAAUUAACAUAGAUCAAAAUUAAUAAUUAAUCAACUAAUAUGUAUAGAACCCAUCACCAUUCCAGAAAAAUAAAAUUUAAUUCAUCAUGACUUGAGAAUAUGACAAAAAGGUAUUCAACACAAUCUUACAUAAAUAAAAAUCUAGAGAGAAAAUUGAUGAAAAGGAUGCUCUCGGAUCUCUUUGAAAGCCUCACAUCCCUUGACCUGGGAGCCUACUUCAAAUCAUGAAGUGCCUUUUUGAGUCUGCUGGAUGCUUAGGAUCUUCAAACCCCUGAUGUUGUUCCAAAUAGAUUUCUUCAUCUAUGAACUUAUUCAGAAAUGCAUUCGAUACAACUUAAUGUUAAGAUGAGUUGCAACUUCCAAAGCAACCAAAUGACCUCAAAUCUGGGUCUUAGAGCAAACUUCACAUCAAAAUUAAUUCUCUCUACCUGUGCCGUAUCCUGGAGCCAAAAACCUUGCUUUAUUCUUAGUGAUAUUCCCUGGUUCAUUUGUUUUGUUUUGGAAUAUCCAUUUUGCUCAUUGUCAAAAAAAGCCUUUUCGAAAUGAAGGCAAUAAUCAUAUUACGCCACGUCCAAAACCAACUCCUUAAAUUAGUCGCAUCACAUCACUUUCAAGGACAAAAAGAGAUCAAAUUAUAAUUUACUAUUGAGGCAAACCAUUUUCCGCAGAGAAGAAACAACAGAAAUACACAAAAAGAACAUCUUAAACUAGGAAGAAUAAAAGAGACCAGUUUUGAGUAUAGUUAGAAACAAAGAAUUAAUAACAAAAAUUGAAGGAAAAAAACCCAUAUUUUCCUUUUGUUUCUCUCCUUGGGUUUAACGUUCAUGUUGGUCUUGCUUUCAUAUUAUCGCUGGUGGUAUUCGUUGCUUGGACUCAUCUGUGAAAAAAUGAAAAUAUUUUCCAAGGAUCAUCAAAUAUUAUUUGAAAUCAAAAUCAAUAACGUAGUUGUCUUCUCCAUCUAUUUUCACAACUCUCUAACAUUGUUUUAUUCAAGUAAACACUCUCAUCGGUAGCUUCCUCGAGCAUCUGAAUCGCAUCUUCAGCUCUACCUUCUCUGGAUAAUGUACAUGUUUAUGGUAUUCCAAUGUAAAAGUCAGCUUCCUCAACCUUUUCCUUUUAUUAAUUAGUAUAUCAGCAUGCAACGAUUUUAUUACUAAAAAAAAAUCAACAAUUUAUUACUUAACAACACAAACUAAGUAAGUUUACAUCGAUAUAUGUUGUAUACAUCUUGUUUAAAGUAAUGAUAUGUGAUGGGCAAAAAUCUGGCCCUUAUUAGCAUUACAAAUCUAAUCACAAAACAAAGAGUCAAAAGACAUACAUUACAUGUAUGUUAUUCACUUUUAAUCAGUCCUUAGAUGGAACUUAAACCGGCUUUUCCUUUAAACCUGCAAUGAUUGCAGAGAGGCGAAUAUAAGGAUGGCGUUUGGUAUUUGUCUUCCCCACCCAUCAUCGGCAUCGCCACACCUCGUUUCACGGGGCUAACGUAGUCCGGCCGGUAAGUCUGUCCCAACACCCCUUCCACUAGAUUGGUUAGUCCGGUGAACUUGAACUGUGUCUCCAAAUGUGCAAAGGCGUCAUCAGCAGGCAACUGGUAAUUGUGAACCUUGUUUUCAUGUUCCCCGAUGGCUCUAACUUUUACAUUCAACUCCACCAGCCCUGCAACUGUGACCUUAACACCGUUGGUUUCCUCAUUUCUUUCAACUAUCACUUCCCUUUCUUCCGAAUUAGUCCUCCACUCGGCUUCUCCGUCUGUCGGGAUGUUUACGACAGCGCCGUCCCAUCUUACAAUGAGAGCGUCGAAGCUGUUGUCCCAUUGAGAAACUCUCUUUGCCGCGAGGACGAGAGUGUGAGUAUCGAACAUGACCGCCAAGGCUUGCACCCAUGUGUAGUCUCGUGUACGUCCUUGGGGUCGUGUCCCGAUGAAGUGUGCAUUGAUUUGGAGGUUCUCAUCUGAUACAAUGGCGAAAUUUCCAUCCUUGGCUCCAUGGAAGUAAAACAUAGCUCCAUCACCACCAACAAACCUUGGAUCAUAGCAUAGAGACCCAUAUCCGUUACAGUUUGGCUUUCUCCCUGUGAAACAACUUCAAAUCAUCAGCAUACAUACACAGAUUACGCAUAGAUACACCCAUAUAUACAUAUAAAUAUAUAUACUUACAUUUGCAGGUGACUUCACAUUUGCUACUGCAGUCAAAGAAGCAUCCUUUGACCUUCUUAUUCUUUUUGGGCUUCCUUUGAGCGCAUUGACUCGGACAUGUGAGUACCUUUCCAUUACAAGCUCCUCUUGCUAGGCAGUAAACUCUUUCUUGUCCAGUACUGGUGGGUGCCAAAACAGUAUAAUGAGUUGAAGCAGCAUCAUAGGGUGCCUUCUUGCUGUUGCUACCUUGCACAUUGCUAGCUUCCAUAGAAAUGAAAACUAGGGCAAGGGCCACCAAAAAGAAAGAGUAUCUUCUAUCCAUGUCUCUCUGUGUUUUAAAAGUUCCUUCUCCUUCUAUUAAUCUUUAAAUGUUGCAGUGUGGAGAGGAGAUAGGCGGAGAUAUAGUGUCACGGAAAACCCUAUAUAAAGGCCAGUUCCGCAUGCGGUUUGCCUCCAAAUACGGCUAAAGCCAUGUGAAGUUUCCUCUUUCUAUAAACAAGCAGUUGACAGAGAAAUAGCUCCUCUGGAUCUGCAAUUUGUUUAUAUUUACAAUUUUACAUUACUCGGUGUAAGGGAAAGAUAUAAAUGAGAAAAGGGUGCUAUAAAACUGUCCACCUCAUCCUAUUCCAAAAGAUAAUAAAUCAGAAUUUUUCAUUUUCAUUUUCAAUUUUUUCUUCUUGAAAAAAUAAAUUCAACUAAAAAUGUUAAAAAUUAGGAGAAAGAUAUGGAUAAGAUAGAAUCACAGUUUCAUAUCGUCCCUUCUCAAUAUAAAUAUAUGUUAGACGAUUUUUCUUUUUUUAAGAUUUCCAUGUAUUUAGAGACCUAAACAAUAAUUUGAUUACAUGCAUAUACAUGCAAAUUAUAUAUUUAAAAUAUAAUUUUGCGUUUAAAAAAUAAUAUUUAAUAAAUAAUGAAAUAUAUGUUUUGAAAUUAAUAAUAAUAUAUAUGAAUAUGUGCUAUGAAAUUUAAAAAAUAAAUUUAUUUAAAUUGUGAGUAAAAUUAAAUUUAAAUAGGUAAAUACAUAUGAUAAAAAAUAUUAAAUGCACUUUAAUUAUUUUUCUAGCUCAGUGUUGUCAUUUUUCUAUAAUAAUAAUAUAUAUGUAAUAUGUAUGAAAUUAAAAAAAUAAAUUUAUUUAAAUUGUAAGUAAAAAUAAAUUUAAUUAAACAAAUACAUAUGAUCAAAAAUAUUAAAUGCACCCCAAUUUUUUUCUAACUAGUGUUGUCGUUUUUUUAUAACACCUUACAAUGUUAUCAUGUUAGAUAGCAUUACUUAACAUCUAAUAUAACUUAUUUUAAAUAUAGAAAGAUAUUGUUGUAAUUUCUUCAAUCGAGUUGGUGUUUGGUUAGCUUAUGCACCAACUCAAUCAAAAGUUUAAAGUUAGAAGAGAUAUAAAUGAAAAAAAAAUUGUAUAAUGAUAUUAAAAUGUAAAAAAAAAUUAUAAUUGUUCUCGAGUUUGUAUUUUUUUUUUUUGAUUUUAUUAAUUUGUGAAUAGAAAUAGUUAUAUCUAAAUAUAUAUAUAUGAAAUAUGGUGAAGAAAAACGAUGAAUAAAAAUAACAUAUUACUAUGUCAAGAAACUUAGGAAUAGGCCUUGGUUGAGAUUGGAGAUGGUGAUGAGAAUAGUAAUAAAUGUGAUGCUUCAAGUUGAAGCACUAAUCUAGUUGUUAUCACACAUUAUCAUGUGACUAAAGCUUCUAAUAAUGGCGGAUCCCAUGGUAUUUUAAAUGACUCUCCAAGGUCAAACCGCCUAGAUUUGUGGUUUGUGCACACCUCCUUCACCCGGCUAGGCCGCCCAAAUCUUUAUAAUAUUUUGAAACUUGAGAAAAGUAAGCUUUUAAUAACUACAAGUUGCAUUAAGAGAAAAGGUCGAGUCAACCCCAUUAAAUGAACAACAAAUUCAUCUGAAUAUAUAUAUCAUAGCUACUUGGGGCAUUUCAUUCAAUAUUUAAUACAUCACAAACGAAUUUAAACAUAUCACAUAUUCUCUUUAAAGUAUGGUGAAAGAAGAAGAAAAAAGAAUUAAGCAUUGAAAAAUAAGACUAGUGUUUUGUUGUUUAUUCAGUGGGUAAUUUUCAUAUGGCCCUUAUUAUUUUACAAUAGAAAAAAAAUUAAGGUAAAAACAUGUAAAACGACAUAAUUGACACAUAUUGGUUUAUUUUAGAGAACAAAUUUAUUGUGUGUCGAUUAUUAUCAGCUUGGAGAUGGAGAAUAUCAAACUCAGUUCAGAUGGUGGCAACUGAUCCAGAUGGCCUCUGAAACCUGCAAGCCUUGCAGAAAGGUGAAAAGAGUGAUGGGGUUUGGUACUUGUCUUCCCCACCCAUCAUUGGCAUAGCCACCCCUCUCCUCACUGGGCUAACAUAAUCUGGCUGGUAUGUUUUCCCCAACACUCCUUCAACUUCAUCACUUAAGUUGGUGAACUUGAACUGUGUUUCCAAGUGAGCAAAGGCAUCAUCAUCUGGUAACUGAUAGUUAUGAACCUUGUUUUCUUCUUUGCCAAUGGGUCUCACCCUUAUGUCUAUCUCCACCAAUCCAGAUAUUUUGACAUGAAGACUGUUUUUGUCAUCGGUUCUUUCCACCAACACUUGUCUUUCAUCGCCGUUACCCUUCCUCCAUUCACCUUCUCCGUCGUAAGGGAUGGUAACCGUCUCGUCGUCCCAUCGUACACUGAGAGCAUCAACAUUGUCAUCCCAGUGAGAAACUCUAUUUGCUGCAAUGACAAGUGUGUGGGUAUCGAACAUGACAGCCAAGGCUUGCACCCAUGUGAAAUCACGAGUCCUUCCUUGUGGUCUAGUGCCGAUGAAAUGAGCAUUGAUUUGAAGCUGACCAUCUGAGACAAUGGCGAAGUUCCCACCCUUGGCUCCAUGGAAGUAGAACAUAACUCCAUCACCACCAACAAAACGAGGGUCAUAGCAAAGAGAGCCAUAGCCAUCACAUUUUGGUUUCCUCCCUGAAAACAUACCAAAAAGUAAAAUAAAAUAAAAAUCUGAGAGAAGUAGGAAUUAGGGUGACUGGUAUUAUAAGUAUAUAUGCUUACACUUGCAAGUGGCUUCGCACUUGCUGCCGCAGUUAAUAUGGCAAGCCUUCUGCUUUUUGUUCUUCGUAGGCUUCCUCUGAGGGCAUUCAGAUGGACAAACAAGGGUCUUCUGGUAACAAGCACUUUUCCCUUUGCAGUAGGCUCGUUCUUGCCCGGUCCCUGAUGAUGACAUGUCAUAAUUCACUUCAUCAUCGUCUUUCUUAUUCUUCUUCUUAUCUCCAUUGCCCUUGUUUUUGCCUUUGCCAUCGUCGCUGUCGCCCUUGCCCUUACCAUUGCUGUUGCCCUUGCCCUUACCAUUGCUGUUGCUGUUGCCAUAUCCAUUACCAUUGUUGUUGCCAUUCCCAUUGUUACCCUUACCUUGACCAUGCACGAUGGCGGCUUCAGUGGAUAGCAGUACGAUAACGAGAACCACCAGAAUACUAUACGACUUCAUCUCGUACUCGAAUUGACACACUACUUAUAUGUUUGUUUCUCCUCUUUAUAUAGCUUAUGAUUAUUAUUAGUGGUAGAGUCGAUCAAUGGAGGAGGGUUGUUGAAAAUGUAGCACAAAAUCAACCUAUUUAUAGGGUUUGUCAGGAUGAACCUCGCCUUGAACGUUGGGUUCAUGGUAAUGCUAUUACGGGUGUAAUACGUUACUUACUUAAUCGGUGAAAUCCACCGAUUUGUAAUACAUCCCUUUUGCUCAGUUUAGGUCCUGAUUCAAUUUUCUUCCCUGUUUUAGCCUCCCGAUUGACACUUCUGUCUUACCCAAAGUCUUCUGUUUCUUCCUUCUACCUUUCUUCUCCACUCUCCUCGCCGUUUCUCCUUCUCCCUGUUAUAUGUUUUUUUUGUAUUAUUAUUUUCUCAAUAGAUCUGCGCAGCAGCACCCACCAUUUUCAUUUCAAAUUUCCCAUCUAACCGGUUUUUUUUCUUCAUCUAACCAACCCUAGCAGCGUUGUUUCGUAGGACGACCCUUGGUUUUGCCACUAUUUACGGCGUUAACCCAUUGGAAGAAACUCCACUCUUUAACUUCCUUUUUUGCGGUUGUAUAUAUAGAUUUCUAUUUUUUUCCUAGGUUUUAGAAUUUGUUUGUUUUUUAGGGAGUUUAGGGCCGUGCUAUGAAUAAUAGAGGGAGGUAUCCAUCGGUGCUCGGCCGUAGCCGCGGAGCGAACGCGAACCCUAGCUUUCAAUCGAGGCUGGAGCAACCGCAGUAUGCGCAGAGAAAUUUGGUGCAGAAUCAUCAUCAUUUUCAACAACAACAACAUCAUCAUCAUCAUCAUCUGCAAACAGCAACAACAUCAACAGCAGUGGCUCAGAUGAAACCAAUUGCCCGGCGGAAAUGACUCCACUGUCGCCGAUGAGGUCGAGAAGACCGUACAAUCUGAAGUCGUCAACUCAAGGUUCUUUUUUGUUUCUUCUCCUUUUUUCUUUUUAAUUGCAUUUGUGAUUAAUUUUUAUUUAAUUUUCUUGUACAUGUUACGUAUUGAAUGUUCAUAAUUAUAUUUUUUUCACAAAUUAAAUUUCUUGUGCAUUGUUUACAGUUAUUAAUUUUUUUAUUGAAUUUUCUUUUAUGUAUUUCAUAUUGAAUUGUGCACGGUUUUACAUUCUUUUUCAUCUUUCAGUUCACAUGAUUGGAAGGCAAGGCUAAAGAUGCCACCAUCAGAUACACGCUACAAAACGGAGGUAUUUUUGUUAAUGAUAUUAAUCGAGUAGAUAUUGAAGUUAAUACAACCUUUUUAAUAAUAUUGCAUAGCUUACCUAUCGUUUUAAAAAUUCCUUGAAGUUUCUGCUUUUACCAGUUAUGGUUAAAGAAAUUGUAGCAUUGGUUUUGUUUAUUUCACUAUAUAUAAUUGUCAUACCUUCGUUAAACUAUGAAAAUUCUCGAAGGAAAAAUUUCUGGCUUAUGUUAUUUGGGCAAUGCAGGUGAAUUACUCAUUAAUUUCCUAUAAGGUAUAUGAUUUUGAAUGGACAGUUUCCAAAGAUUAUAACUUAAGGACACUGAUACUAGUUCCUUGAUGUUGAGGCCUUUUGAACAAAGGGCCAUUUUUAGGCUUGCAAUUGCAUUUCUUUAUCCUCGAUAGCACUCCAUAUUGUUUCUCUGAUAUAAAUUUCACACAGGGCAUGGCAGUGCUUUUGUUGGUAUUUGGAUAUUUUUUAAAAUUUUAAUUUUGACGCUUAUGUACUGAUCUGCCUAUUAAAUUUGUGCCAGGAUGUGACUGCUACCAAAGGAAAUGAAUUUGAAGACUACUUUCUGAAACGUGAACUUAUUAUGGGAAUAUAUGAGAAGGGCUUUGAAAGACCAUCUCCUAUUCAGGAAGAGGGUAUUCCCAUUGCUUUAACUGGAAGUGAUAUUCUUGCUAGAGCCAAAAAUGGAACUGGGAAAACUGCAGUAUUUUGCAUUCCUGCAUUGGAAAAAAUUGACCAAGAUAACAAUGUUAUUCAAGGUUAGAUUUCAUCUACAUUUAAUUUCUUGAUUGUGUGUGUUUGUGUUACCAAUUCAAGCCCAAUAAAAUGGUAGUGGGGACUGAAAGUAGGAUUCUUUGGCCAUUUCAAUUAUUUAUUGUUCUUCUAGUUGUCUGAUCUGCUUGUCAAUCUGAUAUUGGAGAAGUGUGAGUGUCAUUUGUUUCAUUUCUUUUAACUGAUAUUUGAAUUAUGGGCUUUGGCAUGGACGGACUUAGUUGACUGACGAUCAAAUCUUUGUAGCAGUUCCUUAAACAUGUGCAUUAGGUCCUCCAUUUUGUAAGUUGGUGCAACUUUUUCCAUCAGUCCAAGCAGAAAUUUUCACUCAUCUUUCUGAAACCUUCCAAAUUAAGUUCUUUGUUGACCCUUAUGCUGUAAUUUGAAAUAUGAGUUAUAUUAGGUGCAAUGCCGAGGGAUGUUUUCAACACACUACCACCGUUUAGCUGUGGACUAUAGGAACAAUUCCAAGGUGUGUCUGCUUUCUGUUGGAUAAUAUAUUUUUUAAACUGAAGUUUAUAGCAUUUAUAAUUGGCAAAUUAUAUUAGGUGCAGAGAGAGUGAAUGAGAUAUUUUGAGUUGUACAGCAUCAGUUUGAAGUCUUAUCUGCCAAUUUGUUUAGUGAAAAUUUGUAAAAUGCAGGGCUGAUUGCUAUUUUAGUGUUGAUUUUUCCUUGAAUUUAGUUCAUAUUCUCAUAUUGUUGAAAUGUGCAUUAAUCAAUACCUUCUGUUAUUGAGAACCUUUAGGACAAAAAGAUGUAGAUAUAUUUUGUUGUAUUUAUCUACAUCUUUGUUUAUAGAGAAUCGACUGAAUUGCAAAAUUUUAGCGUCUGCUAUGAUGAAUGUCACCUGACUGGUAAUCAUUUUAGGGCUUCCUGACUCAGUACUACGAACAACUGCCAGUAAGUCUAGAGAAUUUGAGGUUGUAUAAGGGAAACACCGAAGCAAGGGAUCUGAAGACAAGUUGCCAAUGCAAAGUAGUCUUGUAGUUUUUAUUCGGGAACUAAUCAGCCUUACACGCUUAAAGACAUGCGAGGAGGGCACUUGUAUUAGGUCAUUGACUCAACUUCAACAGAGGGCAAGGAUGCUUCUACAUCAACAUUGAUUGAAUGAAAUCCAUGUAAUAUUUGUAAUUUUUCCCAGGGUCAUUCAUUUUCGGAUAUAGUUAGUGAUGUGAAUAUGAUUGUGACUAAUAUGCUAUCUAGCAUUUUGUAAAGUUUGGGUGGGCUAGAAAAUUGGAAAACAUAUUAGUUGGUAGCUGGAAGGUUGAAAUGAUCUGACCGGCAUUUUGUACAAUGCAGUUUGAAUUAAGUAAUUAACAGUAUUUGUGAAAAUUUGGGUGAUCAAGUUCAACAUUGCUUAAAGGUCAUAAUGCUUGGCACUGGUUAAAUGUAUAAAUUAUAUAUCAUUAUUAAAUUAUAUUUAAUAUUAAUUAUUUUAAAUUAUAUAAAUUCAUAUAAGAAAAUUUAUUAUCAAGAAUUUUAUGAAAUUAUAUAUCAUUAUUAAAUUAUAUUUAAUAUUAAUUAUUUUAAAUUAUAUAAAUUCAUAUAAGAAAAUUUAUUAUCAAGAAUUUUAUGAAAUUAUAUAUUAUUAUUAAAUUAUAUUUAAUAAUAAUUAUUUUAAAUUAUACAAAUUCAUAUAAGAAAAUUUAUUAGGUAUAAUUAUUAUAAAUUUUAUUAAAUCAUAUAUUUUAAUUAAAAUAUAUUUAAUAUUAAUUAUUUCAAAUUAUAUUUUAUAGUAUCAUAUAUUAUGAUUUGAGUAAAUUCAUGUAAGAAUAUUAAUUAUUAAGAAUUUUAUUAAAUUAUAUAUUUUAAUUAUAAUAUAUUUAAUAAUAAUUAUGUUUAAAUAUGAUUAAAUUAUUUAUUAUUGAUAAUAAUAAUCUUAUUAAAAUUUAAAUAACAAUAACAAUAAUCAUUUACCAAAACAAAUUUAUGCUAAGGGUAUUCUAGUCAUUUUAGUUUUUUCCAUUAUGCUAUUACACCUCUAUUCCAUUCAACCAAACACAAGAUUACUAUUACGCCUCUAUUCCAUUACAUUCAACCAAACAGUUGAUUUGCUAUUACACCUCUAAUCCAAUACACAUCUAAUCCAAUACAGCGAACCAAACGCACCCUUAAUGAUGCCUUCCUUUGCUGUUAAAAAGAAGCAAAACGGAAUAGGGUUUUGGAGGAAUAAAUUAGUAAUUAUAUUGUUUUUAUGUUCAAGUGCAAGUAAUGAGUAUAAUGUCCUUUUGAGUAAAAUCCAAAAAAGAAUCUUAUAAAUUUUAAGUAAUAAUAUUAAAUUCAAUACAAUAGUUUGUUAAAAUCAUAAAUUAUAAGCUCUCUUUUUUUCUCGCCAAAUAGCUGUUAAGUAUUUCUUUCGGUCUAAGCCUAUGUUAUGCUUCACUUUUCUUGAGUUCAAUGCAGUUUAUCAAAUGUUCAAUUAAUCCUCUAUAAUUAAACUUAUCUUUUUAAAGGUUGAAAUUAAAACUUCAUUUUUGCGAUAGUAAAAUUACAAUCAUAUUUUUAUAAUUUUUAAAGGACUAAAUCAAUUUUUUAUCAUUUUUAAAAGAGUAAAGUAUAAUUUUACCUUUACUAAUUUAAGUUUUUAAAAAAUUUAAAGGGCCCCUCACAGUCCCCUGGUACGCCCCUGCUUUGCUUUAGAUGUUUGAAAGUGUCCCUUCUUUCGUUACAUAUAUAAUUCAUAUUUGUGAGUUUAAAAAAAAUAAGAUUUAUAUUUGUAUAAAUGAUUAUGUGAUUAAUAAUUGUUAUACCUACUCUACGUGUUAUCAACAACCAUGUUAUACGCUAAUGUAUCCAUAUCAAACAAAUCUCUAACCAGGCGAACGCCAGACCUUAGUAGAUUGAUGAACCUUCAUAAGAUUACUUUCGCUAGGUAUGUGUGAGACGCAUGUGGGGACUUAGACUUAUUAAUUACCUAGUUUUCCUAAGAAAUUAUAUCAUAGGACAUCACAUCACCGCCACUGUAAGGGAACAAGGUACAACUUCACUGUAAGAAGUUAUAUCAUAGAACGUCAGACCUCACAUAUAUGUUCAUCAUAUCGUAUGAGAACAGGCCAAGACACAAAAAUCACCUCCCAUCUUUCCUUAUUCUCCUCCUACCAAGAACAAUCUCCCAAGACCAUUCUAUCACCAUUCAGUGGCUCUCCGCCCAACUGUGGAUGAACUUAGGGGUGUAAUCGAGCCGAGCUCAAAUAUUGCCAAGCUUGAACUCGACUCGAAAUUCAAAGCUUGAUACUCAACUCGAGCUCAUCAAACAUUUAUUUUUAAGCUCGAUUAAGCUUGUUUAUCAUUUUUUACUCAAGCUCGAACUCGAGCUUAAGCUCGAUUUAAUUAUUAAGCUUAGGGUUAAUAAUAUAUAUUAAGGGCAAUAACGUAAUUUAAUCAUAUAAAAAUAUGAAAAGCUCGAUAAGGCUUACGAGCCGAUCGAGUCAAGUAUUAAUAAGCUUGAAUUUGGCUCGAUCAAUAGCUUGGGUUGCUCAAGCUUGGCUCGAUAAUUGCCAAAUUGAAUUCAUAUUUUUAGUCGAGCUCGAGUAGCUUGUGAACACCAGUGUCUCAUUUACACCCUUAAGUGAACUACCACCAUAUCAUUCAUCUCCUCAUUCUUGUUAAUCCCACCGGUUAACAAAGUAAAAUAUAAUAGAUAAAAAUUAAUUGUAUUUUAUACCGAACCUAAAGGGCUAAAUGUCUUUUACCCCUAUUAUUAAUGCUUCUUUAAUGUGAUCGUAAAAUCAAGAAAGGUUCAUUGUCAUGUUAAUUAAUAAUUUAAUUAAGGGUUAAUUUUUGAUACAUUGACGGUAUAUAAUUCUAUGCAAUAUCAGUUAACCAAAUGAUGCCACAUCAUUAGAAAUAAAGUGAAUUUAGUUUUAAAACUUUUUAAUGAUGUGUAAUCGUCUAAUUUACUAAUGGUGCAUAGAAUUAUAUACUAGCAGUGCAUCAAAUAUAAACACUGUUAAUCAAUAUUAUUUUUUAUUAGAGUAAACUACACUAGUAGUCAUCCAACUACUAGUGAAUUUUUUUUUAUUACACAACUAUGAAAAGUUACAAAAUGAUCACUAAACUAUUCAGUUUUGUCUUUUUUGGUCACCAGCCGACUAACGGCAGCAACAUUUAAAAUUGGCAUGAUAACAAGUUUAACGCUCAACAUUAAUAAAUUACGUCAAUUUAGUAUUGAUUCUAAAAAAUUAAUCCUAAACAUUUACACAUUGUGUAAUUUAGUCUUCUUCUUUUUUCUGCAGGUUUGCUCUUUUUUUUUUUUUUUGUAAAGCUUUGCAAUUUUGCUUUUAUUUGUGAUAUUGAAGGUUAAUUUUAAAAGAAUGAGAAAAGAUGAAAAUUAUUAUCUUGGAUUUUUUGCUAUUUCCAUUUUUUGUAUAUUUUCAAUCAAAUUUAGCUAAUACUUCUUUUAAGCUUUUUAGGUGAAAGGGUCACAAUGAAAAGCAAAACUGCAAAAAAGACUAAAUUACACAAUGUGUAAAUGUUGAUGUUGAUGGGGAAAUUUUUUAGAAUUAAGACUAAAUUGACACAUUGUAUAAAUGUUGAGGGUUAAAGUUGCUAAGUUGCUAUUAUGCCAAUUUGAAAAGUUUUCACCAUUAGUCGGCUGGUGACCAGAAAAGAGAAAAUUGAAUAGUUUGGUAACCAUUUUGUAACUUUUCAUAGUUAGGUGACCAAAAAAGAAAUAUAUUAAUAAUUGGAUAACUACUAGUGUAGUUUACCCUUUUUAUUAUCACAUAAUAAUAUAUUAAAAAUGUUUUUAAAAUGUCAAUUCAAUAAUAUACAGAGUAAUAUUCAAAAGUUUAUCUAAAUUCGUAUUUUCAUAAAUACUAUAUUACAACACAUUCAGAUAUGGGUAAAAAAAUUAUAUAAAAAUAUAUUUUUAAAAUUUUUAUCUAAAAUCUAAACAAAGCUUUAGUUAAAAUGGUGAAUAAUAUUUUAGGUUCAAACCCAAUAAAUUGUGAGUUUUAUAUUUAGUCAUUAUUUAAUUGAUCUAAUAUUCGAUUAAUUCGUAACAUCAACUCGGUCAAAGAUUUAAUAUAUAGUAUAAGUAGAAUAGAGUUGUUGAAAUUUAUCUAUCAAAAAAAAAACUUAUUGGAGACAACAUACUUUUUAAAAUUUUGAAAUAAAUAUCUAAGAGAUACAUGUACCAUAGAGUGAAUAAAUACAAUUUAUAACUGAACUCUGUGUGUUGGUCUGAUGAUUAAGGUGUUCAUCGCCUUAAGUGUCACUUGAAUUCGGUCACGCUAAUCGAGUUGCUAUUAAGAAUUAAUUCCAAAAUUUAAAAAAUCUAAAAGUGUUCUUUGAAACAUUAAAAAUUACGAAAAAAAAAUUAUUAAAAUUCAGAAAAAGUUGUUCAGAUAAUUUUUUUUAAUGUUUAAACUACAAAAUUGAGCUAACUUGUCUUUGUUAACCAGAUUACUCCAAUAGUGGACGGCGAGCGAGCAUUUCCUCAAGAUAUGGUCGAUAUUUUCGACGCUGGCAUCGCAAAUAUAACAGGUCGGAUUUUUUAAAAAGAGUUAAAAGUUAUUUUUUAAUGAAAAUAUUGAUUAAAAUGUUAAUUUUUUAUACAUGUCUGUAUGUUUAUUUUAUGUUUUUUUUUAUGAAAUUUUUAUAUAUUUUAAAUUUUUUUUGAAUAUUUUAUAAUUUUAAAUUAUUUUUUGACGUAACAUAUAUGACAAGUAGUAUCAUAUUAGCAUGAAGUACACAUGGAGUGCUAUACGAGUUGUCAUGCUAACUUUGUUCAAAAAUUGAUAUUUUAGUCAAUAAUUUUAUUUAAAACAAUUUAAUUAUUAAAAAAAAGUUAAUAAUCAACUUUAAUUCUAAAAAGAAUAAACAUCAAAUUAAAAAAAAUUAAAGAUUAAAUUUGAGAGACACAUGAAUUUCCACAUUUUAAGCAAAGCAUCGUAUAAGUUAUAUGAAAAGAAUCACCAGCCUUUUUGAAAAAUGGAAGCAAUGUCAUUGCCACUCCUACACUUUUGGUACGUUCUCUGCUUUAGUAAACAAUAAUUCAUUGAGCCAAUAUUUUAGCCUUCUUUUUUCUUUUUUACUUCACAUCAAAUUAUUGAACUCUAAAUAACAAAAAAAAGUUAUAUUUAAACUAUUUGUAUCAUCUUUUUCCCACAUAUUAUUCAAAUUAAAAUGUAAAAAUAGUAAAAAUAAAAUUGUAAUUAAUUAUGUAUAUACUAUUAUUUAUGUAUGUAACUUUAUUAGUAUUAUGAGUUAUACUAAUCCAAUUACAAAUUUUAAAUAAUUAUAUUAUUAUAAUUUUUUAUCUUUUCCUAUAUUUAUAUUAAUUUUAUAAAAAAAUAAAUUUAGAAAAAAUGUACAAAUGACAAAAUUUUAACCUAAAAUAUCCCUCGAUAUUAUAAAAUGACAUGUGUGUGUCUUAGUUACUAAUAGACUUGUUCAUAGGUUGGGUCAGGAAGGAAGGGUUUGGGUAAAAAUAAGACUAAAAAAAUGAGCUUGGACAAAAAAAUAAGGCCCAUUUAAAAAACAGACCAAGCCCUGAGUAAGACAUUUUUGGCCCGGGCCAGGAUCGGCCCGAAUUCACUAAAAGACAAAAAAAUCUACUAUUUUUUUUUUCUAAUACUAUUUUCUUAUUGUUUUCUCCCUAUUUUGCUAUCAUUUUACUAUUAUGUUGCUACUAUUUUGUUGUUAUUGUUUGGAUAUUGUAUAAAACUUAUUUUAUUGUUAAUUUUGUUAUUAUUUUAGAGGCAUUUGUUUGUUAAGUUGCAUCUAUCUUAGUAUUAUUUAAGUAUACAUAUUUUUUAAAAUUUAUUUUCAAUUUGCUGAGAAAUAUUUAUUUUGAUUUUUUAGUAUUUUUGAUAUAUUAUAUACAUUUAAAAAUUAUAUAAAAUAAUUAAUACAGGCGGGCCAGGCCAGGCCAGGCUCGGGUUUUCACAUUUUUAUCCGAGUUGAGCUUGGGAAAAAUUUUAGGCCCAUUUUUCGAGCAAGGUUGGGCCCAAGCCUAGCAAAUAGACCUGAAUUUUUAGUUGGACCCAGCCCAUGAACACCUCUAGUUACUAGUAUAUAGUAAAAUUAACUUAUGAUAUCCUUCUCUAAAAUUUAUGAAGGCUUAAUUGAUAUUUUAAUUAUUUGACAUGAAAAAAUGUUGAUGUAUAGGGUUUAAUUGUUAUUUUAAUUAUUUUAUGAGGGCUUAAUUAAUUUUUUAAUUAUUUUAAAAGGGUUUAAUUAAUUUUUAAUUAUUUAAGUCUAAAAUUAUUAAAAUAUUAUUUAAAAAUUAUAGAAAAAAUAUAAAUAAUAUUAUCUCCAAGGUUUGAACUUAUGUUCUCUCCUUAGGAUUGUAAUAUGACUUACCACUAUACCCAACACUUGUUGAUAAAAACUUAUAAAUAAUAUAAAAAUCAAAUAUUAUUAAUAUAGUUUGUGGUUAUGAUUUGAACCAAAAUGCUUUUAGCCAUUAGAUCAAAUUGAAUGGUUCUAAGCAUUAGAUUUAUGAUUUAACUUAUCUCAUUAAAAUAAAAAGCACACCACUCAAUCAAUUUUCCUUUCUUUGAGAUUAUGCAAAAGAAAAUCUUUCAUGUUAUUGAUCUAAAAAAUUUCCAAAAUUACAAUUGUUUAUUUGUACUAGAAAUAUAGAUUUUGCAUUUGCACAAUUCAUGUUCAAGUUGUUUUUGUAACACCCCUUACCCGGUCCUGUCGUCGAACCCAAGCUAUAGGAUGUUACAACAGUUAACAGAAGAGUUCACAUAUAUUUCUGACUUUAAUAUUCAAUAAAUCAACAAAACAUUUCAUAAUUCAAGUACAAUAUGAUUACAACCAAAACUGAGUCUCAAUCGAGCUUACGAAGCUCUUGAACCAACUUGAAAACAAUUUAGGACUAAUUUGAAAAUUUUACAAAAAUAUAGGUAAAAAGGUAAAACAGGGGUCACAAGGUCGUGUGGCCAAAUCGUGUGACAGGCUGAUGCCGUGUGGAGCUAGAUGGCAUGGUCGUGUACCUAAGCCGUGUAACAAAUUGAAGUCAUCCACCCAAAUAAACAUACCAAAAUGGGCAAGUUCAUAAAGUUGAACACCAAGCACAUAUAUAUAUCACAUCUAUUACAUGCCACUUAUAAUUGAUAUGAGAUGAAUCAAAGAUUACCAAAAAAACCAUUGGAUAGUAUGAGCCCUAGAAGUGAUCCAAUAGCCAAGUUUAGCAAAUAUGCAACUACAAAAGACAUAAAAUAAAACGGGGUAAGCAUUGACAUACUUAGUAAGUUCAUAGAUGUUUAGACAAGAUUCUUACCUCAGUUUACAAUUACGUAAACAUAUAUAACAAAUUUUAUACGAUUUCCUAUCAAGACAUUUACAAUAACGAGGUGAGCAUUUCAUGUAUCAAGUGUAUAAUCUCACUAUCAAUCACUAUGAUAUGUUUCUGUAUCAUUCAAUAGGAAGGAUCCAACAUAUAAAUCAUAUUAAACAAUUGAUCGCAUCAAUUCAUAUUCACAAUCAAAUACCAUUUCUUUUAAACAUAUAGCACUGUCACUGCAUAUCACAUUUAUAAAUUAAGCGUUUCAUACAUAUAAACUAUAAACUUUCUAGUCAUUUUGAUAUCAUUUCCAAAUAACUUUUAAACACAUACUCAUCAUUCGUUCAAUUUCAUCGGUUAACAUUUCAAUGGUCGUACUAACAUAUCAUUUCCAAACAAUUCAUGCAGUCAAUCAAUAUAUGUUCUUUUAAUAGUUAGCCCGAUGAACUAUAGUUGUCACAACCCAAUUUCGACCCUAAUUGGACAUAGUGGUUUCAGGACUACAAAUCCGAGUCUGAAAAAUAUUUUAAUAUUAUUUUAUGUGUUAGUUAUAUGUGAAAUUAUAUGUGUGAAAGUUUCGUGAAAUAAUUUUACUGUUUGAGUGCUUAAUUUGAGAAAAUAGCUUAAUCGUGUAAAAUGAAAAUUUAGGGGUUAAAUCUAAAAGCACCUAAUUGUUGUUAUCUUUUUAAAUGGGAGGUUUAAAGAUACAAAAAGACCAAAAUUCAAGAUAGUGGUUGGCAAUGGACAACUUGAUCCUUAUGUUAUAUGAAAUAUAAAUUAUUUAUUUAAAGGUUAAAAAGGGAAACUAAUAAUACCUUAAUAUAUGUUAAUUAAAAAAAACAAAGCAAAAUUCAAUGGUUGUCAUCUUCAUUAGGCCGAAACUAGCUAGGGAGAAAACCAUUAAAACAAACUUAAGGUUCGGCAAGUUACAACCUUGAUUCAAGGUAAAUUUUGUUUCGGUUUUUUAUAAUUCUUACGUUUUUGAGAUCAUUGCUUUAUGUACUACAAGACCCAUGCUUUAAUUUUAGAAUUUGAUGGUAAUUUUGAGAUAUUCCAUUGAUGAAUGUUUGAUCUUUUUGAUAGUUGAUGAUGAAAUAUGAAAGAUAUGUGAAAGAUUAACAUGUUUUGUCUUUGAAUUUUUGGUGAAAUGGAGUAAUUAGGGCUAAAUUGUGAAAAUAAAUUUUUGAGGGACUAAAAUGUGAAAUAAAUGAAAUGUGUGGACUUGUAUGAACACUAGGAACAUUCUGCCCUAGCAUGGUGUGUUUAAAUUUUGUGUAUUUUGUGUUUUGUGCAAAAAGAACUAAAUUGCAAAAAAGUGUAAAAUAUCAGGGGCAAAAUGGUAAUUUUCCCAUUUAUGAAUUUUUGGAUUUAAUUGAAUGAUUUGAUGAAUGAAAAGGCUAAAUUUGAAUAUUUUUAGAUCAAGAAACGAAGAAAACAAAAUUAGAUCGGGGAAAAACGAAAGUAGUCGAGUAGUCGAUCGUGUCCGUCGAUAUCCGAGGUAAGUCAAUUAGCAAUUAAAUGUUAUCUAAAUUGAAUAUAUAUAUUUAUCAUACAUAUGAUAAGCUGGAACUUAAAAUAUGUAAAUUGAAUAAAACUUUGUAAUUUUCCUAUUUGAUAGUCGAAUAUAGAAUUGAUCUUCGUAGGUUGAUUUUAAUGAUACAAAUUACAUGUAUGUUAGCUAAAGUAUGAUUUAAGUUUAAUGAUAUGAAAUUAAUAGUAGAAAAUAUAUAUAUAGACAUGUAAUUCGAAUGUAAGGCUUAAUUUCUUUGGGUUGAAUUUAAAGUUAUGAGUUAUAAAUAUAUGGUUCGAAAGUAUAUUACAAGUUCUUGAGCUAAAAUUUAAUAUUAUGAAUUACAUAUAUUUAUAUGCAUGUGGCUCGAACAUACAUAUAUACAUAUAUUCAAGUUCUUGAGUUGGAGAAUUGAUGUAUGAAUUUUAUAUACAUAAGGAGGUUCGAACAUAGGUUACAAAAUACUUUGAGCUGAAGUUAAUGUUUUUGAGUUAUAUCUAUAUGGUUCGAAUGCAUGUUUACUAUGAAGAAUCGAAUAUAAUUUAAUGUUGUGGAUAUACGGUUAUUGAGUAAAACUUAUGUAAAUAUAAAGAACUAUACGAAAGAAUCAUCUUUAUAUCUGAGAUUUUCAGGCUUGUGCUUAGUAGGCUUAAUGCCGGUGAAAUCUUCUAGACUAUACGUCUAGCAGGCUUAAUGCCGGUGUACUGGAUCAGGCUUCAAGCCUAGCAGGCUAUGUGACGGUGAAUUUGUUCAAAACAUGUGUUUAGAAAGUUCUUGUCAAUGUAAUAUUAAAUGCAGUUGGACAUGUGAAUGAAUUUUAUCUGCAGGUAUGUGUUAGUUAAAUUUUAUCUAUGCUAUUGACUUACUAAGCUCUCAAUGGCUUACUGUAUGUGUUUGUGUCUAUUUAUUUUUGUCUUAUAGAUUUUGAGGUUGUUACGAGCUCGGGGAUCGUCAGUAAAGCUUAUCAUACUAUCGACAAAUAACGGUAUCUUAAGUUGAAAUUUCUUUUGAGACUAUGGCAUGUAUAGACUAGCAUUCAAAUUGUUUAUUUUGAAAGUAUAUAUGUAUUAAAGCCGUGCGAAUAUGGCUUACUUAGCUUGUCUUGCUUGGUUUGGUUCGAAUUAAAGAUUAUGCAUAGUUUAGUUGUGGUUUGGCAUUAUAUGAAUUAUGUCAUAUAAAUGAAUGUUAUGUGCAGUUGUUUGAUUUAGUUAUAAGCUGAAUAUAUAUAACAUGUUUAUAGAUGGAAGUGUGCAUUGUUUUAGAAUUGAGUUUGGUUAUGAAUAUGCUAAUGAAAAGCUAAACUCGUGAGUAGAGGUGCUCAUGGGCCGGGCCGGGCCCAGGAAAAAAUUUCGGCCCGGGCUCGGCCCUGCCCGACCCGAAAUAUGGGCCUAGAAUUUUGUCCAGGCCCGGCCCGGGAAAAAAUUCAUAAGCCCGGGCCCGGCCCGGCCCGGUCCGUUUUUAAAUAAAUACCAAAAAUUUAUUUUAAAAUUAAAACAAAAAUUAAAAAAAAGUAUUUUAAAAAUAUUUUAAAAUUUAAAAAAAUUAAAAAAUUAAAAAAAAAGUAUUUUAAAAUUAAAAAAAUUAAAAAUAUUUAUUAUAUUCGGGCCGGGCCAGGCCGGGGCCGAGGCCCGGUCCGUUUUUUAAUCAGGCCUCAUUUUUUUGCCCAAGUCCAUAUUUCGGGCCUAUAUUUUUACCCAAGCCCGACGGCCCGCCCGGCCCAUGAGCACCUCUACUCGUGAGGUUGGAUUUUAUAUGAAAGUAUAUAUGUAUAAAAUGGGAUAAGGUAAUGAAAUGAAAACUUUUGUAAGUGAUUUAAAUAUAGAUAAUUAUGUGUAUGCAUAUGCGGUUUUGGCAUAUAUAUAUAUAUUUGAUAAGUAAAGUUUGGCUUUGUGGUUUAUGACAUUUUGGACUAAGAUGAUGUUUGACUAUGUAUGUUCGGUUUGGUUAUAGUUUAAUGUUAAGUAUAAUGUUUCAUAUUUUAAUUGAGCAACCGUUUGAUAUAUAUAUAUAUAUAUAUAUAUAUAUAUUCGAAUACAUCUAGAUCAAUUAAAUUUAGUUGAGUUAAUAAGUAAUGCAACCUUGUUUUAAUAGAAAUGGUUCAGUAUGUGCAUUUAGCAUUUAAAUAUUAAAUGUGAUCAGAACAUUUUGUGUAUUGCAUUAUAAGAUUAAAUUUAUAAGCCGUACUUGUAUUAUUUUUUGAAUUCGACAAAUAUAGAAUAUGUUUUAUUGUUUAUAUGCAAGAUGUUUAAAUAAAUGUAUACAAAUUUAUUUAUUUAAAACUGUUUGUAAAUUAUGAUUUUGUAUUUAAUUGUGUUCAAUUAUGUUAUGUUUGGUAAUGUCUCGUAACCCUAAUCAGGCGACGGAUAGGGGUUAUGGGUGUUACAAUAGUAACAUAAUUCAGAUACUCAAUUAUCCACCCAAAACAGGCCAUAAUGCUCAAAUGAUGUUAAACCAACCAAGAACACGCCUAGGCACUGAGUGCCAAGUCUGAAGGCUAACAUCACUCUAGAAACACGCCUGGACACUAAGUGCCAAGCCCGAAAGCUACACAUCCUCCCCUAGAAACACGUCUGAAUCACUGUAAAUAUAACUCGGUAAUCCGCAAAAAAUGCUGGAUACCGAUACAUUCAAUAAACAUAUAAACAUAUCAUCUGUCAUCAUCUCAUCUCACAUUAAACUCAUACAACGCGUGAUAUAACCCUAUUGGCAUACCAAUCGUAUCUUAAUUGUUUACUACAUUCAAAUGGGCAUUUAAACAUGACUUGUAAUAUUUAUAAAUUAGGGGCACUUCCAUGUUCUCAGUACACAUGCUAUAAACAAGUCACAUUAAUUCUGAAUCCACAUGAAUCAUGUUUCACCUGUAUUCAACAUUUCUCAAUUAAGUCCUUACUCAACUUAACAUUAGUUUAUAACAUUUCAAUUCCAAUUCACAAUAUUAAUAACAAAUAUAUUCGUAAUUCAACAGCAGCAAUAUAUGUAUAAUAAGUUGAUUUAUAGGGACUAUUAUACAAUUUUCACUUUUUUCCUAAUUUUCCUCCGUAGGAUUGAAUCCUUAAUCAUACAAAUGAAAGAAAGCUUGGACGAAAACCCUUAAACUUGGCAAUGGAGUAUUCGGUGUUUGAGAAGAAAAAAAUAAGGAUGAAGGUGGUCUCUUUUGUUGUAUUCAUUUUGAUUUAUUAUUACUUCACUUAAUAUAGGUGUAAUUGCACUGUUAAACCUUGAUAAUUAGUUUAAUAAGCCUUAACUCAUUAAAAAAUUCAAUAGUGAUAUUAUUUUAUAAUUUUUACGAUUUAAUCUUUUUUUCUUAAUUAAUUAUCAAAUCAUCAAAAUUUUCUUACCAAACUUCAAUCCACUUAUAUAAUAGCUCCGUAAAUAUUUAAUAAUAAUAUUUAUAAGCUCAAUUUAUGAAUUUUGGUAUGAGCCACGUGUAUCUCAAUUAACUGACCAAUUAAUAAAAUCUAUUAAAUCACGAUUCACUAUUAUACUAUAUUUAACUCAUAAAUAUUAAUUAAAUAUAACUACGAAACCACUAAAAAACGAAUUGUUAUAAUUUUCUCUUUUAUUUUUCAAUAUUAAUCUUAAUUGAAUUGCUAAAUACUGUAUUGUGAUUUGCCGCUUAUAAGAUUGUAUUAUCGCCAACUAUUAAAAUAUUGAAAGUCUAUAUGGUCAUGGAGUAAACAGAAUAGAUGAGCUGAUCCCAGUAGAAUAUUUAGUAAUUCCAUUAAUAUUAACAUUGGAAGGCUAUAUGGUUAUGGAUUAAAAAGAAAAAGAAAUCUGCCUCAACAUGGAUUUGCAAAUACAAAAUUUAGAUCUCUACUAUCAACAAUCAAUUCUAUACUGUAGUGUUAGAUGAAUUGUAAUUUUGGGUUUUUUAAAUUAAUGACAUCAAUUUUUUUUUAUAUAACAUUAAAGAAAAAGAAGAGUAUCCUGCUUUUUAUUUGAUUUUAUGGUUAAAUAAAAAAUAUAAAAAUAUAUAAUUAUUUCCUUAUUUUCAUGGUUGGUACUCCAUAUAACUCCAAUCAUCUUCAUACUUUUAAGCUCUUCAUUUUCUUAUUUUCUGUAAUUUUCUAUAAUUUUUAUAUUUUUAUUAUUUUCUAUAACUUAUUGAUUGUGUUCUAUAUUUUUUAUUUUUUUCUAUAAUUUUAUAAUACUUUUCAUAACAUAUUUAUUUUAUUUUAUACUAUUUAUUUUAGAUUUUUAUAAUAUUUUAAUAAUUUUACACUCGAAUAAUAAAAAAUUAAUGAAGUCCAGAAAAAUAAUUAAAAAACAAUUAAACUCUACACAUCAAUAUUUUUUCAUGUUCAUACAUCAAAUCAGCACUUAAUUGUUAUAUUAUCCACUUAGUCCGCAUUUAACCGUUGUUAAAAGCUUCAAUUGAGAAUUAUAUUUUAAGGGCUCAAUUGGUUACUAACUUUAUAUUAAGUGCUCACAAUUUUCCAUUAAAAACUUGAUUGAUUUUUAAUUAUUUUAGAAAAAAAAAAUUAAUUAUUUAAGCGUAACAACUUUUUAGUUUUUAAUUACUAACAACUAAAAUAAUAUCAAAAUUCUAGAUUUAAUUUGUUAGUAGAAGCAAAGCAGUCCUGUUUCCAAGUGACCAAAACUUCUUUCCUCGCGAUGAGGAAAAACAGAUGGGUUAAUGUACAUAUAGAUUUUGGUGUUAAAAAUAUAUUUAUUUGUUCACCAUCUUCAUCUACAAUGCUCUUAACACUCUUUUCCAUUCCGUUUCCUUGUAUACAAGGCCUCAACCAAUAAUUCCACACGGUUCCGGCUUCACGACAAUUCUUGCUUACCAUAAACAAAUUUGCAUUAACAAAACAAUAUUUUUCAAAGUGAAUUUGUAGUUGGAAUUCUUGCCUUGUGAGGGCUAUUCACAUGCUUAAUCCCAUGGUGAUCAAGCUUUGUUUGUAGCUGUUGGGGUGUCCUUGCCGAUGAGUCCUUUGUUACAUGGAGUCGAUCUAAUGAUGCUAGAACAUCAAUCAUGCACGGUCUGUUCUUCGGAUCCUUAUGCAAGCACUGCAAUGCGAGUGCAGCCGCAGCUUGUGCUCCUUUCUUUGAGUACUGGCCUCCUAACCUCGUGUCCAUUAUCCGUAGUACUUUCCUGUUGUCACUUAGGAAUGGUUUUGCCCAUUCUACUAGUGUUUCUUCCGAAAACCCAAAAUUCUCAUCGUCCAUUGCUCGCCGUCCUGAAAGUAGCUCUAAUAGUACAACACCGAAGCUAUACACAUCACUCUUUGGGGUCAAAUGACCUGCAUGCAAGGUUUAAACUGGUUCGUUAGUAGGAUCAAUAACCCUUAAUUGAAAUCCACUUAAAGCAAAAAAAAAAUGCAGUGACAAAACAGAAGGAUCAUUACAUAUCAAUAUACCAAAGGUGUUUCUCCCAAUAUCAGCUGCUCUUUUAAGAGCACUAAUUUCAAACCUGAACACUCCUGAGAAAACUAAAUUUACAAACCUAGUUUGUCUUCGCUAUCAACGGAGUCUUGCAUCUUAACCAUUCUAUGUUAUUCCAACCCUUCCUUUUUUGUGUGUGCAACUGGAUGAACUGCUAAGCCACUAACAAUCUAGAUGUCCUUGGCCUAGAACUCCAAAGAAAUAUUCCUGUAAAAGAAUUCCGCAAGCAUGGUGGUGGUUCGAGCACCACAGCAUUGCUACAGAGCAAUUUCCAAGCCGUUAACGAUGCGACAAACUAAUUGCUGGUAUGAUCAUGCUAAGCAUAUUAUGUUCAAUUCUAGGCCUCUUGUACAUGUCAUAUACAGGGGAAGUAGUGGAGAGAGACCUAAUGGCUCGGCACAAAAAUGUUUUUUUCCGGAAUUUGCCAAAAGGUCCUCAGGAAUGCAGGAGAUCGUACUGGAGGCAAAAUGUGUGUAGGCUUGACAAUUUCAAGAUUUUGUUUUCAAACCUUAGUUCAUUUACUAUAAUCAAAGCCACACGAUACAACUUCAGUUGAUUCAUUCAGUUUAUUAGUAUUUUAUGGCUAUAGGCAAAUGGAGAAGAAUCUCAAGCUCGAACGGACAUUGAACAUGCUCCUACACUCAUGCUCAGCAUAGACUAAUAGCAGCCUCUCAAGAUUAGUAUGCUGAAGUUAUGGUUGUAAUCUAUGAUAACCGAACUCACCAUUUAUGGCCACCGUACCGGUGCCAACACGACAUUGCUACAGAAAGUUCAACUACAACUGCAUUUGGAAGAAGGGAUGGAAUUUGAGAAAGAAGGAAAAAGAAUCCGCUUAGCUGGAGAAAAAUGGAAAACAGGACAACUUCCAUCCUUAGGCUGUUGCAUUUGCAAUCCAAACAACUAGCGUAUAUGUAAUGUAACAUAAGUUAACUGUAGUGUAAAAUCUCAUCUAUCUCUAUUUCUUUUUCUUUCCUUGACUUCUUUUUUUUUUUUUUUUGAAUCACAUUAAUAAGAAGAAAGGUAUAAGAUACCAAAAUAAUCCCUCUAUGUUGCUCCCAUUCUUCAUUUUCUUGAACCAUCCAUGAGCAACACGUAUUCAGACAUGAGUUUGGGGAUAUAACUCUCCAAAAAUCCUCCAGAUACAGGGAAAACUGAAAAUUAUUUUAACAUACCCAUGCCAAACAUAUACUCUUACCAACAUACACCCGAAUCUGAGUAAUAAUUUUCUCUACUCAUUAUCAUACUCGGUUUUAACUGCACUAUUUGAAGGAAAGGUGAUGAACACACCUGUGGCAACAUAUUCUGGGGCUGCAUAACCUUGAGUUCCAACAACUCUGGUCGAAACAUGGGUGUUAUCACCAGUUGGACCAUCUCUUGCCAACCCAAAAUCUGAAAGCUUUGCAUUGUAAUCCUACAUAAGUUUAUAGGCAACAGCAUCAGUCAUUAAAUCAAAUGGGGAUGUUCAAUAUAACAUCUCUGCCGUACAACUCAAUCAAAAGUGACAAUGUUUGAUAUGUCAGCAUUACCGAAUCUAGAAGAAUGUUGGAAGCCUUUAAAUCACGGAAGAUUACAUUAGCAUCUAGACUAUGUAAAAAGGUCAAUCCCUGUGCAACCUGUCUGGCAAUAUGCAUCCGUGUAGCCCAAGAAAUUGGUUGAACACCCUCUGAAAGAAGAAAACAAUAAUGGUUUUAGUGUUAGUACGUUUCUCUGACUCUUCAUUUUUCUAUAAGUACCUAUAUCCGAUAUAUAUUUUUCGGACAUGAGAAAAAAGAAACACGAAAGCACUCAAACCCAAGUUCGAGUAAUAUAGCCAGAUCCUAUCUUGAUUAACCAUUCAGACUAAUGAAACAGAAACAUUAAAAAUGACUCGUAUAUGCAAAAACUGUCACCAUCCUAAGAGUCAUGCAACUCCAGCUGCCCUGCAUGCCAAUAGGAGACAACUAGGUUCAUACAAUAUGGUUUAAACUCACACAUUGACAAGCCAUUGAUACAUGGUAUAUGCUUUAACAUAAUGAGAAGAAGAUCAAUGUAAAAAAGAGUGAGAGAGAAGCGUA